UACGAAGGGUGCAAGCGUUACUCGGAAUUACUGGGCGUAAAGGGUGCGUAGGUGGUUGUUUAAGUCUGCUGUGAAAGCCCCGGGCUCAACCUGGGAAUGGCAGUGGAUACUGGACAGCUAGAGUGCGGUAGAGGGUAGUGGAAUUCCCGGUGUAGCAGUGAAAUGCGUAGAGAUCGGGAGGAACACCAGUGGCGAAGGCGGCGACCUGGGUAGAUACUGACGCUGAGGUGCGAAAGCGUGGGGAGCAAACAGG
rnacentral:rRNA from 1 species